UACGUAGGGUGCGAGCGUUGUCCGGAAUUAUUGGGCGUAAAGGGCUCGUAGGCGGUUUGUCGCGUCGGCCGUGAAAACCUGCAGCUUAACUGUGGGCGUGCGGUCGAUACGGGCAUCACUGGAGUUCGGCAGGGGAGACUGGAAUUCCUGGUGUAGCGGUGAAAUGCGCAGAUAUCAGGAGGAACACCGGUGGCGAAGGCGGGUCUCUGGGCCGAUACUGACGCUGAGGAGCGAAAGCGUGGGGAGCGAACAGG
rnacentral:rRNA from 1 species